AAGUGGUUGCAAUUUCAUUUGCAAAAACCCAAAAUGCCUGAUGCAUCUAGCAUAUCACCCGAAAGUUCCCAGUCUAGUUAGCUGCCAAGUUGGGGCAUGCGAUAUGCCGAUUUUCUAGAGAGGUUCUACCAAGUUUACAGUCAAGAUAUGACGCUGUCUUUUGUGGCAGAGUGGUAUUGCCUCUUGAGUGAUUUUGUCCUCGAAGAUUAUGGAUGGUUGAAGUCGAUAUUCGAUUCGUGCGAGCAGUGUGCACCUGCAUAUUUGCUGUAGUUCUUUUCUGGAAUGACAAUCAUUCAAUGUGGCAAAAUCAUUAACUCCUUCCUCAACGGGUUCUUCAAUUCUUCAUUGAUCUUGCAGGAAUUCCUACAUUGAUAUGAGGACACGCUGGGGCAUACAUGUCGAGGAGGCAGAGGUAUCGAUGAAACAGAACCAGUACAUGCCAAACCCUUGAGACCUUAUCACCAAUCGAGAAAGAAACAUUACAUGUUCCUAUACCAUAUGCUCUAGAAUUAUCACAGGAGGAGCUGGCACAUGUGGUGGAGUAUGGAGUUUAUGUGAAAGUAGUGGAGGUUUACAUCAUGCGGCACUACUCGAAGGGUGACAGUAGCUGGAUUGUGAGAUGGGGUGCAAAUGAGGAAACAAUCACUUGUAGCUGUUGGGGUCAGUUUGGUGGAAUCUUAUGUUGGCAUGGGCUCUGUGUGCUCAUACACUAUAACCAAUUUCCCAUCCCUCAGAAAUACCAUCUACUUCGCUGGAUAAUAUUAAGGUCUUUCAAGAUCCACUGCUAUUCACGGUGGAGAAUACUGACAUCCAGAUUUCUCAUCUUCAAUUUAUGACAGCAAAAUGCUGUUCUGCAAUGCUAAGGACGGGAUGGUGGACAAUCUUAGUAAAAUAGUGAGGUGGUUUCCAGGUUUAAAGAUUAAUAUUCUGAAGAGUAAAUUAUCGGGCCUUUUCAUUGCCCUUUUAGAGCCUUCAAUUUGUACCAACUCACUCCUUCUAACUGAUGCAGUUCUUGGUCUUUGUCGCACAUAACCAACACACUCCCUUUUUUGCCUUCCAAUUCUUCGAUACAUUCUACAAUUGUUAUUUUUGUUACAGUAUGCUUUCAAGAUCUCUGUUGCCUCCUAGGCAUGAUAAGCACAUGGCAGGACUUAUUUUUUGACAAUUUCAUUAUGCUGAUGAUAUAACUUAAAAUUCUUUGUUAAAUCAUAAAUGCACCAAAUAGGCUGAUUUUCUUGUUAACACGAUGAAAAUACAAUUUUGACUCAUUACUGAAUGCAUGGAAUUACCAUAGUGCUGAGGUAUAUUCAGGUCCUUUGACAAUUGCAGGAGUUCCUCAAAAGCUUCUCAAUUCUAAUUUACAGAAUAAUGUGCAGGAAUAACGAAGUUAUUUGGUUACAUAUGCAAAUAAAAGAUAACGAUGGUGUUCUCAUAGCAAAGAACUUCCAAAACAAGAAACAAGAAAAUGACAAAAUGCCUGUGGACCGGGAGAAAAGAUACACCUAACUCUUUUUUUCUUUUUUUUUUCUUUUUUAGACAGAGAGAUGAAUACUGCUAGUAGCUACUAUAACGUAGGCACAAAAUCUAGUAGCAAAUCUCAUGCACAAAGGCCUUUCCUGUUAGACUUUUGGUCUUGUUGCUGGCUACUGUUAGAUGAUGAAAGGACAAGAGACUGAUGGGAGUGCGACCUCAGUAUUUUGAAGUUUGAUGCCUGAUUCUAAGGACCUUGUAUAGGUUGGUGAUGUGAAGGUCGUUUGCUCUACCCUGGAUUUAACAGGAUCACCUUCCUUUAGUUGACCCCUGAUUGGGCUCAGGGGAAAGGAUUUUAAUGCCUUUGGGCCUGAACUCAGGAUGAGGGCUAUGCAAUUCAAGGUCUAAAUUUUUCUGAAUGGACAGUUGGCAUCUUUUAUGAUAUGAAACUUGAGAGCAUUGCUAAGCCCACAAGGAUGUACAAGGCAUACCAUGCACAGCACCUCGUGUGCCUCAUGGUAGAUAGAUACAAUAUCCAAGUGAUCCAUCACGUUGGUCCAGCUGUAUAGAUGUUCUUUAUGAAAAGGCAUCCAUUCAUCAGGUGGGCCAUGCCACUAGAGACAGGUAGAUGUGUUUGAAAACAUUGGCCCAAUUUAUUUUUAUUUUUUUUUCCAGUUGUGUAUUUUUCUCAGAAUAUGUGGCCUACCUGAUUCUUGGGCCAGGGAAUCUAAUGGCUGAACCAUUCUGAUGGAUGGCUUGGGUCUCGUACUUAUGUGUGAUAUUGAUGUGGUGACGUAUACAUGAUCUGCUUGUACACACCUGUGGGCUUAGCGGAGCUCAAAACUUCAUGCUUUGUAUUGUCUUGCCAACACUGGUCCAUCUGGAUGAGGGGUGGUUUGUGAAAUGACAAUUGUUACAUCUCUAUGUCAUUUUUCCAGGCCUCUUGGUGAGUUCAGAUCUAAUGAGAUGGAGAUCGUGGCCCUAAAAGAAGGGCUGAUUUUGUGUCUUCUUUUCAAGAACUCACACAAUGCCAUUUUAUGGGAUUCCCAAGGAUGGUGAAUGAGGCACGGCACCAUGUUGAAUUUCUACGUCUGAAGGACUAAUUGCCAACAAAGUCUACUUUCAUCAAGAAGACAAUUGCUGCUCUUGGAAUCCAUUUCUUAGUGAGACCUGUACGGUUAGAAGCACACCUGCGUGCAACGUUCCCUCAAUCCACCAGGCUGCUCACAAAGCAAGAAUUCGAGGCUUUUGUCAUCUCAGCUUGAUAACCUCAGCAGUGUUCAACAAUCUGGAUUAUUAUCAACCGUUGGUCAGCAAUCAACGGCAAAAUUGGUAAUCUGAAAGCAAUUUAAAGCAUAUUUUCUAGAGCUGAUUUGAACUAUGCUAAGAAAGUGUUUUUAACUGUGAUAUUGUAAUUCUUGUACAUACAAUUUAUAAAAUUUUCAGUCUACUACUCCCCUUUCUUA